GUCGAACGGGACAUGGGGCAACUGAGAAUCAGUGGCGGACUUUCGCGUAACACGUGAGGAACAUGACUUUCGGUGGGGGAUAGCCGGCCCAACGGCCGUUUCCUACCGCGUACGACCUUUCGGGGACAUCCCCGGUUGGUGAAAGCAGCCAUGCGCCGAAAGAGUGCCUCGCGGCCUAUCAGCUAGUUGGUGGGGUAAUGGCCCACCAAGGCGACGACGGGUAGCUGGUCUGAGAGGAUGGCCAGCCACAUUGGGACUGAGACACGGCCCAGACUCCUACGGGCAGGCAGCAGUGGG
rnacentral:rRNA from 1 species